GUAUUUAUACAUGUAUGUGCAUAAAUUGCGUUCAAAGUACAGAAUCUUUCCAGCAAGGUGAGUGUAUUGUUUUUCAAAUUAAAAUACCUGCUUUUACUUUAAAUAAUGAUAAUAUGUUAUUCAAUUUGAAUUCACAUAAUAUGUACAAUAAUGAUAGUAUUGUAUGCACAAUUCAUAAGCAAACAAUGAAAUAUUUCGUUCAUUCGUUUAAUUUUUUUUGAGUACAUGUAAACUAAAGUAAACUUGGAUAACUAUAUCAAUUUUACGCCCUCAAUAUUAACAAUGAAAAACAUAUAUCAUUCAAAAAUGGCUUAAUCAUCGGUCCUUUGAAAACAUCGCCCCUUAUCUCUAUCUUUAUACAUUAAGGCUACAGAAGUUAACCGAUGUUCAAAUCUUGUAAAUCGACAAGGAAGAGACAAAUAAAGGUGAAAUAACUGAAGGAAUUAUAUCAAAGGAUCGUCGACUGAGUAAGCAUCGCCUGUCAUAUAUGCAUUGCGCGCAAUGCAAGUUUCACACUUGGAAAUAUGACGCAAUAGAUGGUUUUGCAGAUCAGAAGAUUACUUUAUCGUAUAUUUAAGGGAUCCGUAGAUAGCCCGAUACAUGGCAAAAUAUAGGUCCCUAUCCAAAAUACCCGUGUUUUUAGUGGCAGUUUAAAUAUCCCCGAAGUUUAUUAGAAUGGUCUCUUUUACAUGUAUCUCCCUCAUGCAAAGUUUUGAUUCCUUUCACGGAUUUGGCUAUACUUUUUGGACCUUUUGGAUUAUAGCUCUUCAUCUUUUAUAUAAGCUUUGAAUUUGAAAUAUUUUGGCCACGAGCAUCACUGAAGAGACAUGUAUUGUCGAAAUGCGCAUCUGGUGCAAGAAAAUUGGUACCGUUAAUUUUAUUACAAGACCUCAUUUAAUGAGAUACUGUUUGUCUGGAAAAAAAAUAGAAACAUAUUUUUAUUUUAGGAUCAAACGACAAAACUACCUACGCAACGAAGACGAUAUUGAAAUUAAGAAUUACAAAGAAGCAUCUUUACAGGUAAAUGUUAAUCUCUUUCUCGACUUUCUUUUUAUAUUCACUUAUUCUUCUAACAAAAAGCAAAAAUGAUUAUAACGUUCAUUAACUCGUCAAUGAUAUAAAGAGAUACUUUUUUUUUAUAUCUAUCAAUUAUUUUCAAAUGAAAGAGUAAACUUAAGUUAAUGAAUGUAUAUACUGAAUCGGAACAUCGGACCAUCAUAACUUGAGUCUUAUUUUCUUCAGAUUAUAAAUAGAGAUUUACAUGGGUUCUAUUUAACCCUUCAAAAGUUGUAUCCCCUAGCUGUCAUAGCAAUUAUGAUUUAUUUGUCAUUUAUUUAUCUUACCUGUUUCGUCAUGUUCGUGAUGGGAAUGUGUCUGAAAUAUUAUAACUGUACCAAAAAAUAUGAUAUUUAUUCAUAUUAAGAAGAAAAAUGAUCUGUUUUUCAGACGCUUGUAAACUUACCAAUUGACGAAACAUUCUCUCGUCUCUCAUUUUAUUAAAGAGGAGCGAAAGAUACCAGAGGGACAGUCAAACUCAUAAAUCGAAAAUAAACUGACAACGCCAUUAUUAACAUAUCAAGUAUACCAUGUUAGAGAUAUAUGGGGUUAAGAUUUAAUGUGCAAUGAAUGUAUUCGUUACUUGACGUGAUAGUUUGUGAUAUCAGUGUGAUAUUGUAUAUUUUGUUCCUUAACAACUCAUAUCGUGAUAAUACGGAGUAAUAAUACCAGACAAAUAUUAUUAAGUUCUCAUAUUUUGAAAUUUAAAAUUGUAUUAUUUAAGCUCUGAAAUCUCGCAAAAGACAUGUUUGCACCUGUCCCAUGUCAUCAGGAGACUGUCCUGUAUUAAUUUUGUAUGGUUACGCGCAAUAAGUUUUUUGGUAGAUACCGAGUAAUCGUUGAGUUUAUCUAACCUUUUAAAAGAACGGCAUGAAAUUCAGAUGGUAUUUAUAAUUAUUGUAGCACUUUUGCUUGCUCAACAUUUUGUGUUUGGCGCAAACUCAGAACAAGAACAAAUUAGAAGAACCAUUCAGAUUUGUAUUUGGUGCAACUAUUUCGACAGUACUGUUCAAAGGACAAAUUAAGGUUUGGGGACAAAAAUUUUGGUAUUUUUGUUUUUAAUUUUCUAAAACUUCACAAUAAAGCAUUUCUGUUUGAGUCGUAAUUAUUUGCAAGUUUAUCAACCAUGAAGAGACGGUCAUUUCAAUACAAUUGACCUCAAAUUAAUAAUAAGAAAUAAUAGAUAGACCAAAUAUCGCAUAGUAUUAAAUAAGAGGUUGGUUAGAAAAUCUUAUUAUUUAUCUUUGUAUACAUAGUAUAUUUACCUAAAACGAAUGUAGAAGUGAAAUAUUAUGUAGACACUAAACCCGGUGUAAGUCAUACCCUUAUAACAUCAUAUAAGCAUAGAUAAAGAUUAUUUCACUAUUCUUACUUCUUAAACUCCACGAGAACGGACCAAGUCUAGACAGCUUCAAUUAUUCAGGUUUGUCUAUCCCAGACGAUAAACAUUUUUUUUUUAAUUUUUAUGGUGUUCAAUGCUCUUCAACUUCUUAGUAUAUACUGACUUCCAACUUUUUAAAUUCCUUUGUUCAAAGACGCGUUUGACAUGCUAAAACUUAAGUCUAGUAACUUUGAUGAAAUAUCUGUUAAAUGGUUUUUGAUAGCAUCACUUCAUAAAUUUAUAUAUUUUUAAUUUGAUUUUUCAUUCUUGUGAAAAUCUGUUUUAACAAUUCUAAUUAUACGAACGUCAUAAUGAAAUGUUUAAAUUUACACUAAAAGGGAUUGUUCUUUAUUCCAACAGUGAGAAAAAACAUAACAAAUAGUCAACUAUAGAAGGCCACGAAAACAAAAACGCAAACACGUAUGGCUUUAAUUGUGUACAAAUCAAUAACGAUAAUAUUGCGAUUUUUUGUUUAUUCAAUAUCAAUUUUUUUUCUCAAACUGUUCAAAAUAAACACUAAUUUAAUUCCAAAAAGUUGUUUUUGAAAUAUAUUGUUCCUAUCGAAAUUUGCAUUUUUUAGUUUUUGUUUAGCUAUAGAUUACUUUUAAGAAGGUUUAAUAUAAACAUCAGCAUUUUAUGGGUUUCUUUUGUUAAAUUUUAUUUGAAAAAGGAAUAAUGUUGAAAAUUUUGACAGCAAUCAAGUUUUAUUUAUGUUCGAAUCAGUUUUAACAUUCAACAAAUUGAAAAUAUAAUAAAUACAAACUCACAUGCAGUUUUUUUUAAAUGUUAAACAUGUUUUUUCCAUGUAUUUUGCAGUUAAACUUUUUCUCACGUAAAUUAAUCAAUGAGUAAAAGAUUUCUCUAAGUAGAAAUUUAAAAAUGUCACUGAAUAAAAUACACAGGGAACAAUACAUGUUGUAAUUAUCUAAUGGGACAAGAGAACUGUCAAAAGUUUAAAUGGACAAGUAACUAUCAGCUGAAUCUGUGGAAUAGAAUCAUGGGUUUAAUGAAUAUUUACGAUCUGUUUUCUUCGUGGAAGUUGGUUUGAGAUUUUUCGACAAAGGAAUACAUGUUUAACCUUAAGGACACAUGCAUGUACCAAGUAAUGUGACAAGCACAAUUUUCAAGGGUUUCAUCUUUGUUAAAGAGAGUAUUUAUCAUUUUGUAGGUAAAGUGAAGCACAAUGAGUUCAAGUAGUGAUUCAAGCUGGUCUACAAAAACCACAAAUAGCGAUAUCGGCAUGGGGUCGUGUACAUCAACCACUACACGUGACGUCGGAUCAUCGAAAGGCAUAAGCGGAACCCUCACUGUUACGUAUGGACAGGCUGCAGGCGAUGGCAAUGCAAGUGUCUCUGUCGGUGUAAAGAUACCUAUUUAAUAAUUGUUUUGUGCAGUUUUCGUCGUAUGGUUAUAUAUAUUUACGUAUGUUUAUCACGAAGCAAGUGUGCUUAGUUAUAGUUUUUUAAAAUCAGUAUAUUAUUUUUGUGAAGUUUUCCUGAAAUGGUGUGUGGUUGGGUUUUUUCUACUGCAAGAAAGUAAAAUUAAACAGUUUAUAUUUAUAUUGUGACCAAAAAGGACAAAUAUAAAUUUAUUGAUCCUUUGUUUUCUUUGGUAUCAGUUUCGGUUAUUAACAGCCGUUUUGUCCUUAUAGAAAAACAACCAUUUCAUGUUUGUACGCUUUAAUAUUAAAAGAAAAAAUAGUUCCAUUAUGUAAGAUGACAAAUGCGUAUUCAUUCAACACUUAUAAUUUCCAAUGACAAGUACAUUUUAUUCAUUUUUUUUUAUUUUAGUUCACUUCCAUGCAUGUAUACUUUCAUUUUUUAUUUUGAUACACUUACCAUGGUUACAUUGUGACGUUAUUUAUGCAAACUCGAUCUUGUACUUUCUGUAUUACUCGUAUCAUGAUGACGGUGCCCUAGGCACUGAACAUGUCAAUCAAUAAAUUUU
rnacentral:lncRNA from 1 species